CGUAGCGCGCGUUAGCACAUAGUGAACUAUUUUUUUGCCUUUUACUAAAGAAUACUGUGUGCUCGUCUAUUCAAGCAGCAUACUAAUCUUUUUGAAGGGUUAUUUCAUUAUUGAAAAAA